rnacentral:rRNA from 1 species
UACGGGGGGGGCAAGCGUUGUUCGGAAUUACUGGGCGUAAAGGGCUCGUAGGCGGCCAACUAAGUCGGACGUGAAAUCCCUCAGCUUAACUGGGGAACUGCGUCCGAUACUGGAUGGCUUGGAUUCGGGAGAGGGAUGCGGAAUUCCAGGUGUAGCGGUGAAAUGCGUAGAUAUCGGGAGGAACACCAGUGGCGAAGGCGGCCACCUGGACGGACACUGACGCUGAGACGCGAAAGCGUGGGUAGCAAACAGG